rnacentral:rRNA from 1 species
UACGGAGGGUGCGAGCGUUGUCCGGAUUUAUUGGGUUUAAAGGGUGCGCAGGUGGCCCGGUCAGUCAGUGGUGAAAUGCGGCCGCUCAACGGUCGAACUGCCAUUGAUACUGCCUGGCUUGAGAGGAGUGGAGGCCGCCGGAACGGACGGUGUAGCGGUGAAAUGCAUAGAUAUCGGGAGGAACGCCGAUGGCGAAGGCAGGUGGCUAGGCUUCGUCUGACGCUGAGGUGCGAAAGCGUGGGGAGCGAACAGG